rnacentral:lncRNA from 1 species
CGAUCCUUUAGUAAUACUAAAAAAAUUCGGAUUCUAGAUCCAAUUCAAAAAACUUAUGUUUCAUAAUUUUAGAACUCAAUUUGUCAAAUUCGAUUUGAUUCUUCUUGUAUCCAAAUUACAAUAAUGUAUAUUAUACCGCAAAUCAUUCAUCGAGGGGUAUAAAGGAGUCCCUUUAAUUAUAAAAAAUAAAGUUUUUGAC